rnacentral:rRNA from 1 species
CCUACGGGAGGCAGCAGUAGGGAAUCUUGCACAAUGGGCGAAAGCCUGAUGGAGCAACGCCGCGUGCAGGAUGAAGGCCUUCGGGUUGUAAACUGCUUUUAUAAGCGAGAAAUAUGAUGGUAACUUAUGAAUAAGGAUCGGCUAACUACGUGCCAGCAGCCGCGGUCAUACGUAGGAUCCGAGCAUUAUCCGGAGUGACUGGGUGUAAAGAGUUGCGUAGGUGGCAUUAUAAGUAGCUAGUGAAAUCGGGUGGCUCAACCAUUCAGACUAUUAGCUAAACUGUUAAGCUCGAGACCGUUAGGGGUAACUGGAAUUUCUAGUGUAGGAGUGAAAUCCGUAGAUAUUAGGAGGAACACCAAUGGCGUAGGCAGGUUACUGGGACGGUUCUGACACUAAGGCACGAAAGCGUAGGGAGCAAACAGGAUUAGAUACCCGGGUAGUC